UCUGUGUCUCCCUGUCUCUCUCUCUGCCCCUCCCCUACUCAUGCUCUGUCUCUGUCUCUCUAAUAAAUAAAUAAAUAUUAAAUAAAAGAAGAAACACUAUAGCACUAUAACACAUAGAACAUAGUAUUGGAAUAGAAAAAGAUACAAACCAAUGGAAGGGAAUAGAAGGCCAAGAAAUAGAUUGGGAUACAUAUGAAGAUUGAAUGUAUGAUUAAGGUGGCAUCUUAAGUCUGUAGGGACCAACAAUUGCUAUAGGGACUAUGAUCAAUUUUGAAAAAUAAUUUUUACGUGCCACCACAGUAAGUAGCAUUGAAUUAAAGAUUUAAAUGUGAACAAUUAAAGCAUAAAAGAAAUACUUCAAUAAGCCAUAGGAAAAUCUGUUGAUAAAAUUGGAGUAGGGAAAAGCUUUCUUCACUAUAUGAUGUAAAAACAAUAAGCCAUAAGAAAAAAAAAACUGAUAAAUUCAACUACAUGUAAAGAAUUUCUGCGUGCAAAGAUUACCAUAAAUAAAUUCAAGAAAUAAUCUCCAAAUUAGGGGGAAGUCUUUGUAACUCGCACCACAGACAUAGGGCUAAUCUACCUAAUAUACAAAGGGCUCUCACAUAUCAAUAAGAAAAAGACCAAUGAACAAAUAAAAAUAGGUAAAAUAAAUGAGGAGAUAGUUAACAGAAAAGGAGGUAUGAAUGCUCUUCAGUGUAGGAAAAAGAGCGUGACUUUACUCACAAGAGCAGUACACAUUGAAACACAUUGAGGUACUAUUUAUUGUCUUUCAGAUUAGCAAAUAUGAACACAUUUUGCUAAUAAUUUGUGUCAGAAGAUGUGGGAAAACAAUCUUUUCCCAGAGAUUGUUGGUAGGAGUGUAAAUGGGUACCACUUUUACAGAGGGAAAUUUGGCAACAUGUAUGAAAAUUAGAAAUCCAACGAUUUGAUCCCACCAUUCUCUAUGUAAGGAUUUAAUUGACAGGUAUAUUUGGGACUGUGUUAAGGUAUUUCCUAUUUUAAAAUAUAAACAAAUUUUUAAAAUAAAAAUUAAAUGAACUUUUGUUUAAAAAAAAGCCCUCAUUUCACCAUCUUUUGGCCCAGAUUUUCCCUACAUUUUGUUUCAAACAUUUAGGACUUUGUCAUGCAUCCACUGUGAUUCUGACAAAUACAUUUCUCUAGAAACUACAUACUUUAAAACUUAGUAAAAAUUAGUAGAAACUUUAGAAGGAAAAUGUUUACUCUUCGUAUCUUCAAGUUUGAAACUGAAAUGUUAGCAUUUUAUUUGGCCUGAGAAAGUAAAGGGUCUUAAAAAAUUAUUGAUAUAAUAUACAUUAGUUAUAUACCAUCCACUGCUUUUCUAAAACACUUAUUUAAAAAAAAAUCUAUUAUGUCUUUUAGGGUGGAUGCUUUGAUCAAAUGUUGUUCGCUUAUUUUAACUGAGAGGAAAAAUUAAAAAUAUGUGUGACAUAUGGAAUUACCUGACUCGAUGGUUUUGUGGAGCUAUCGCAUAAAUAUUUGACCUUCAUCUGGGCCUCCGGGGAGCAGAGUAAGCUUUAAGCUUUUCAGAAUAGAGGUCUCACACAUAUGGCUACAUGCUCUGCUGUCCUGGAGAAGCAGGUGGCUAAGUCUGGCCCUGGCCACGGAGUCCCCAAAGAUUUACUUUUACCUGCCAACCACACAGGGAAACUGUAUAAUCAAUAGUUCCAUUAUCGGAUACCCGGAGUACCAUGUGCCUAAGCGCAUCGGGAUGUCUUUUUUUUUUUUUCCCAUGUGCUUCACUGAGAGUGUUUUUUCCUCCCCUU